rnacentral:rRNA from 1 species
CGUAGGGGUUCUGAGAGGAAGGUCCCCCACACUGGUACUGAGACACGGACCAGACUCCUACGGAAGGCAGCAG